rnacentral:lncRNA from 1 species
UUAAUUUGGGUAAUAGUAUUAUAGGACACUUGGAUGUUGAGCUGCAAAUUUGAGUUUAUUGAAUAGGGUGGGUGAUCCUUUGGCUAGGUCAGGAUUCGAGUUUAUGUUUAAGCAUAGACAAUGGACGUACCCGAAAGAGGGUCAUUCGAAAACAACAUUUCUACCUCCACGUGGUAGAGGCAAGGUCCGUGUACACUCUGCCUUUCUUAACCUCCACUUGUGGAAUUUCACUGGAAUGUUGUUUGUUUUGUGGAUUUUCUAGUUGUUAAGAAUGGGAAUGUUGAUGGGUUUUGAUAGGGUUUCUAGUUUUUAAAAACAAAAAUUUUGAUGGAUUUUCUAGUUGUUAAGAAUGAAGUAUUGAUGGGUUUUAUGAAAUCUGCAAUUUUGAUCGGGUUUAUGUGAUUAGUUGUUAAGCGCUCCCUAUUACGCAUUUUAUCAUACGACACAAACAUUCACAAAUUACUGCUUGAAGCUAUUCGUAAUAUGGAUGUGCAUUGCGUAAAAUUUGAUUAGGAUGUGAGACGUGUUAAUUUGGGUAAUAGUAUUAUAGGACACUUGGAUGUUGAGCUGCAAAUUUGAGUUUAUUGAAUAGGGUGGGUGAUCCUUUGGCUAGGUCAGGAUUCGAGUUUAUGUUUAAGCAUAGACAAUGGACGUACCCGAAAGAGGGUCAUUCGAAAACAACAUUUCUACCUCCACGUGGUAGAGGCAAGGUCCGUGUACACUCUGCCUUUCUUAACCUCCACUUGUGGAAUUUCACUGGAAUGUUGUUAUUGCUGAGCAUAGAGACAGGUAGUGUCACUGAUUGAGAAUAACAUAGGCAAGUAGUGUUGAGAGGAUGGAAGUAUGGAAGUUUUGUAGUAAACUUGAGCUUCUAGACAUGCUUCUAGUCAUCCACGACUCUCUUCUUAUUUAUCAAUAGUGAACCAUUUUCCCUUCUGCUAAAAUGGACACUGAUUCCUACUCAUCAGUACUAUUA